AGGACGAACGCUGGCGGCGUGCUUAACACAUGCAAGUCGAGCGGAAAGGCCCUUCGGGGUACUCGAGCGGCGAACGGGUGAGUAACACGUGAGCAACCUGCCCCUGGCUCUGGGAUAGCCUCCGGAAACGGGGAUUAAUACCGGAUAUUCACUGCUUCCUGCAUGGGGGGUGGUGGAAAGUUUUUCGGCUAGGGCGGGGCUCGCGGCCUAUCAGCUUGUUGGGGGGUGCGGCCCACCAAGGCGACGACGGGUAG
rnacentral:rRNA from 1 species